rnacentral:rRNA from 4 species
CGUUUUUUGAUUAUAAUUUAAGAUUUAUUCUGCUCAAUGAAAAUUUAAAUAGCCGCAGUAUUUUAACUGUGCAAAGGUAGCAUAAUAAUUUGUUUAUUAAUUGUAAACUGGAAUGAAAGAAUAGAUAAAAUAUUUACUUUAUUAAUAUUAUAAAUAUAAAGUUAAUUUUUUAGUAAAAAAGCUAAAAUUUUUUAUUGGGACGAGAAGACCCUAUAGAAUUUUAUAUUAUAAUGAAUAUUUUAAAUUAAUAUAUUUUUAUAUAUUUAUUAUAUUAAUUUAUUGGGAGGAUAAUUAAAUUUUUAAACUUUAAUAUAAUUAACCAAAGAUAAAUGAAGAUUGGAUUUUAUAUAUAAAAUUUUAGAAAAAUUACCUUAGGGAUAACAGUGUAAUAUUUUUAGAAAGUUCUUAUUGAUAAAAAUGUUUAUAACCUCGAUGUUGAAUUUAGAUUAAUUUAAAUAGAAGUUUGUUUAAAUUUUAGUCUGUUCGACUAUUAAAAUCUAACAU